CGUAGGGUGCGAGCGUUGUCCGGAAUUAUUGGGCGUAAAGAGCUCGUAGGCGGUUUGUCGCGUCGACUGUGAAAACCCGAGGCUUAACCUCGGGCCUGCAGUCGAUACGGGCAGACUAGAGUUCGGUAGGGGAGACUGGAAUUCCUGGUGUAGCGGUGAAAUGCGCAGAUAUCAGGAGGAACACCGGUGGCGAAGGCGGGUCUCUGGGCCGAUACUGACGCUGAGGAGCGAAAGCGUGGGGAGCGAACAGGAUUAGAUACCCUGGUAGUCCACGCCGCAAACGUUGGGCGCUAGGUGUGGGGGUCUUUCCACGAUCUCCGUGCCGCAGCUAACGCAUUAAGCGCCCCGCCUGGGGAGUACGGCCGCAAGGCUA
rnacentral:rRNA from 1 species